GGGCGUUUAGCUCAGUGGUAGAGCGUUUCGUUGACAUCGAAAAGGCCGGAGGUCCGAUCCCUCCAACGCCCACAA
rnacentral:tRNA from 4 species